rnacentral:rRNA from 1 species
UGAGGAAUAUUGGUCAAUGGACGCAAGUCUGAACCAGCCAAGUAGCGUGCAGGAUGACGGCCCUAUGGGUUGUAAACUGCUUUUAUGCGGGGAUAAAGUCACCCACGUUUGGGUGUUUGCAGGUACCGCAUGAAUAAGGACCGGCUAAUUCCGUGCCAGCAGCCGCGGUAAUACGGAAGGUCCGGGCGUUAUCCGGAUUUAUUGGGUUUAAAGGGAGUGUAGGCGGCCUGUUAAGCGUGUUGUGAAAUGUAGAUGCUCAACAUCUGAACUGCAGCGCGAACUGGCUGGCUUGAGUACACGCAACGUGGGCGGAAUUCAUAGUGUAGCGGUGAAAUGCUUAGAUAUCAUGAGGAACUCCUAUUGCGAAGGCAGCUCACGGGAGUGUCACUGACGCUUAAGCUCGAAGGUGCGGGUAUCAAACAGG